GUCCUAGGGAACAUUUUACAACAUUCUAGUUUCUUCUUCUUUUUUUCAGGCAAAAAAGCUGCCAUGAUAUGUCCUAUAUAUC
ensembl:ncRNA M04G7.4 ncRNA